rnacentral:rRNA from 1 species
GACGAACGCUGGCGGCGUGCCUAAUACAUGCAAGUCGAACGAAGCUGUUUUAACUGGUGCUUGCACCGACUUAAACAACUGAGUGGCGAACGGGUGAGUAACACGUGGGUAACCUGCCCCAAAGCGGGGGAUAACUUUUGGAAACAGAUGCUAAUACCGCAUAACCACAGAAACCACAUGGUUUCUGUGUCAAGAUGGUUUCGGCUAUCACUUUGGGAUGGACCCGCGGCGUAUUAGCUAGUUGGUAAGGUAAUGGCUUACCAAGGCAAUGAUACGUAGCCGAGCUGAGAGGUUGAUCGGCCACAUUGGGACUGAGACACGGCCCAAGAGCCUACGGGAGGCAGCAGUAGGGAAUCUUCCACAAUGGACGAAAGUCUGAUGGAGCAACGCCGCGUGAGUGAAGAAGGUUUUCGGAUCGUAAAACUCUGUUGUCAGAGAAGAACGUGUGCGAGAGUAACUGUUCGUGCAGUGACGGUAUCUGGCCAGAAAGCCACGGCUAACUACGUGCCAGCCGCCGCCGUAA